AAGAAGCAAAGAACGAAUUGAGUUUUGGGGAAUGUUACCCUUUUGCUUGUGAGCAGUUGAAGUGUGUUGUCUUCUUGUUUUUUUCUUUUUUUGGGUUCUUUGGCACAAUCCAAAUGUUACACUAUAAAUAGAAAGAAGAAUUAGUGCUGGGUCAGACAAAUUUAAUGCUAAGAGAUUUACAUGUAAUGUUCCAAAGUAUUUUGAUGUUGGUUUACUUUGAUCAUUAAUAUGAUGCAUUUAGUUCCAAAUAUGAUGUUAACAGCAUCAAUGGACUCAGAGCAUUGUCGUUUUGGCUUUUAUAAGUUGUGGUAAUACUGUA
rnacentral:lncRNA from 1 species